rnacentral:rRNA from 1 species
AGUGAACGCUGGCGGUAGGCCUAACACAUGCAAGUCGAACGGCAGCACAGUAAGAGCUUGCUCUUACGGGUGGCGAGUGGCGGACGGGUGAGGAAUACAUCGGAAUCUACUUUUUCGUGGGGGAUAACGUAGGGAAACUUACGCUAAUACCGCAUACGACCUACGGGUGAAAGCAGGGGAUCUUCGGACCUUGCGCGAUUGAAUGAGCCGAUGUCGGAUUAGCUAGUUGGCGGGGUAAAGGCCCACCAAGGCGACGAUCCGUAGCUGGUCUGAGAGGAUGGUCAGCCACACUGGAACGGAGACACGGUCCAGACUCCUACGGGAGGCAGCAGUGGGGAAUAUUGGACAAUGGGCGCAAGCCUGAUCCAGCCAUACCGCGUGGGUGAAGAAGGCCUUCGGGUUGGAAAGCCCUUUUGUUGGGAAAGAAAAGCAGCAGGUUAAUACCCCGCUGUUCUGACGGUACCCAAAGAAUAAGCACCGGCUAACUUCGUG